rnacentral:rRNA from 1 species
AUGAACGCUGGCGGCGUGCCUAAUACAUGCCCGUCGAGCGAACGGACGAGAAGCUUGCUUUUCUGAUGUUAGCGGCGGACGGGUGAGUAACACGUGGAUAACCUACCUAUAAGACUGGGAUAACUUCGGGAAACCGGAGCUAAUACCGGAUAAUAUUUUGAACCGCAUGGUUCAAAAGUGAAAGACGGUCUUGCUGUCACUUAUAGAUGGAUCCGCGCUGCAUUAGCUAGUUGGUAAGGUAACGGCUUACCAAGGCAACGAUGCAUAGCCGACCUGAGAGGGUGAUCGGCCACACUGGAACUGAGACACGGUCCAGACUCCUACGGGAGGCAGCAGUAGGGAAUCUUCCGCAAUGGGCGAAAGCCUGACGGAGCAACGCCGCGUGAGUGAUGAAGGUCUUCGGAUCGUAAAACUCUGUUAUUAGGGAAGAACAUAUGUGUAAGUAACUGUGCACAUCUUGACGGUACCUAAUCAGAAAGCCACGGCUAACUACGUG